GCGAAAUUUGGGGACCAAAAGAGAUGCCUUUUCCCCUAUAUUGGUCAAAUAUUUGUUUUCGUAUCAUGUUUGCUCACAGAAUGAAACCUAAUCUCAAAAUCCCUUAGCUUUGUUCUGAGAUCCCUGAUAACUUACACUUUGAUGGUGUUGGAAAUCCGUCAAUUUUGGACUCCAAGUUUUCUGCUAAUGCUUCUAGACCACAGGGCCUUUUGUGGAAACUUCCAACUGAGACACAGCAGCGACAUGCAGAAAAGCAAAGGCAUCUCCAGUGGGACUGAGAGCAAUCCCAGGGCAGUGAACGGCUGGAGGUGUUGGAAUUGGCCUCCCUGUUCUUCCCUUCAGAAGAGAAUAUUCUCAAAAUGGGAAAUUUGCAGUUUCAGGUUGAACAAAUGCCAUGAGGGACACAGGAUCCUCAAGAUUUCUCUGCCAUCCUCAGCAUGUUGGUGUCAUCCCAUUCAUGGUCACCUAAUGCUGUAGUAGUCCAGGCCCCACCCACGUUGCAGGCAGAAAGAAGAAAGGGAAGUGUUGGCAUCAACCAACUUCCACUUUUGCUUCACACAACUUAACUACGGUAUAUGGCUACUCUUGGCUGCAGGAGAGGCCGUGAAAACCAGCUUUUGGUUUCUAUAGCUUCAACAGUAUGGAGAUAGGCAUGGGAUAAUGGGAGUGGAAAUGAAAAUCUGUCUAAUAGUUCUUCUGCAGUAUCUGCUAUAGAACCUUUAUUUUUUAGCAUUAUUUUCUGAGGAGUUACGUAUUGACUACUAAGGGUGCGAUGGUUUCCUUUAGGCAGAACAAGAUAAGCUCGUGGGCGUUGCGGAGCUUGCCCUCUAGGGAGGAAAGGGUACCAAUAAGUCAGCAUCCAUUCAACGUGACAAAGACUCUAAGAUAGGCAUGGGUUUCCCAUGUAAUUCAGGACACAGAGGAUGGACUUGGCCAGUUGGGCUGAGAGAAAGCAGUUGAUUGAGGCAUAUUAGAACAAUAUGUCUUUGUGUCUAAUGCAGUUGUGGAUGAAGAAUAGCCAGUAAUUGAAGAUAAUUCUUGCUUUGUAGCUAUAAAGGAUGAAUGGUUAGCUACUGAACAUAACUGGAUUCUGAAGUGCCUCUGUGGGGCAUGUAAGAGGAGCUAUCUCGUAUGCAGUCAGAAGAAUCGUGGUGAAAACUAACUUGGCCCUCAUUCUGGGCCAAGCACUAUGCACCAAGCUCUUCAUAUGGGUCAACUCUCUCAACUGUCACAUCACGGCUUGUGCUCAUGACUAUCACCCCCAUUUUACAGAAGAGCAGACUGAAGCUUAUAAAGGUUAACUAACUUAUCUAAGGUCACACAGCUAGAAAGUGGUGGCACUCAGAUUGGAGCCCAAAUAUUCUGACACCAACCUCUGCUCUUAACCAACAAAUAUUUCAUUCAACAAAUAUUCAUUCAACAAUAUUUAUUCAACCAAUAUUUAAUGAGCAUCUAUGAGGGGUCAGGCACUGUUCUGGGGAUAUACUGUUCGAGGGGAUACAGUGCUGGGGAUACAGUGGUACAAGAAAGACAUCCUUUCUAUCCUCACGGAGUGUUCAUUUUAUUGUAAAUAAAAACCCACAAUGUUGUAUAAUAAGUUUUGUUUUAACAUAUAUAAUAAAACUGAUUUUUAAAAAUGUAUAAUGUGUAGCAAUUACAUAAUUAUAUACAAUAGUAAUAGUUGGAUGUUAGUAGUGAUUCCACUAUCACAUACCACACUGUCUCAUGGCAGAAAUGGAAUGCAAAGUAGCAGAGUCAGGGUGACAAAGAGCCCGACCUGGAGUCUGUGCAGAGAUAGGUAGAUGACACUGCUGCUAAUGGGGCUCCAGAGAGGAGACCUGCUCGAGUCGUUUCCGGAAGGGAAGCCUGGCCCAGCGGUGCUGGGUUUGACCAGUGCUUCACCAAGAGCAGAUCAGAAGUAAGUGUCUAAGUGUACGUGAUACUGCAAAGGCAUGGUGGCUCCAGGGCAGCAGCCUGGCCAAGACUGAAUUCCAAGGUUCUAUAGUACUGACAGAACUGACAGAACUGGGAUCAUGCUCUUAUUUCUGAGAGUCUGACGUGUAGUUGAAGAUACGCAGUGAGGUCCUGAGUUGGCUUCCGCUAUCUUUUCCUGUUUCCUUUCUAUUCUCAGGGGUAUAGUCAGAGACAGGAAUUUAUAUGGUGCUGUAUUUUGAGAGGCUUUUAUUUUGUUUCGUUAAUUACAUGAGGAUAGAGCUCAAUAUAGAGUUUAGAGACCCAAGCCUUAUAGUCCCACAGAGAAGGGUCAUGGGUUUUACCAAACAUCAUAAACUUGAAUGGGAGCUUUAAAUAGGGAUGGGACAUUUUUUUGGGACGAAGAAAAGAAAUAAUUAUUGCACAUCAAAAUAAAAGAAGACAAUUACAAAGGCCUGUCUUCAUAACACUUUGUGUUUAAUAAUCAGGUUUGCUCAGGAAAUUAAG
ensembl:lncRNA